CUGUGGUUCUGUGCACCCAUAUCGAGACAGCCACAGAAACUGAGGAUCCUGAGGUGCAGAAUCCAGGCCUGUGCAGGAACAAGGAGGGCAGACUGACCACGGGCUUGAAGAGCCGGCUCCACCUCUGCAUGAUUGUAUCUUCUGGAGAGUCUCCAAGCCCGUUUCCCUGGAGCACAGGGAAGUGGCAGAGCUGGGAUCUGAACUGAAAUCUCUGGACUUUAUGGACUCUGGCAUCAGAACCUAGGAUUUCAAACUUGGUCCUACUACUUCAAUCGAUGAAUGAACUUGGCGUAAAAUCCUGCGAGAUUGGCACUAUCUGGUCCAAAGAGACAUCAUCCCCGGUAAUGGCCAUCCUCCGGUGCGUAUACAGGAAAAGACUAAGGGCAGGAAGCAGAGGUAAGGACGCGGCCCACUGCCCCCACUCAGGCCCAUCUUGGAGGCCCUGAGUGCUUGUAUUCCCUCCUUGGCUCCCAGCACUGUGCUGGUGGUGCCCUGGCUAUGCACACUGCUUGUACGUGGAGCCCAUCUGAGCCUCCAGUUUUAUGGGUAAGGUCAUCAAAAAUGACCUUAUUGGGGGAGCUCCUGGCUUCCUUAGUGAAAUACACAUUUGAUCUACCCAUGGUGCAUUCUAACACUGCAUGUGACAGGAACAGUGCAACCUUAGCCACUCCCUUUCUCUCCUUGAACCUCAGUUUCCCCAUUUAUAAAACUAGGGUUGUGGAUUAAAAAAAUCUCUAAGGCCCCUUCCCUGCCAGCUCUGAGACCCUGAGCUUCACUACCAGCGAUGAGACCUUUGGCAAGUAUUAUUUACUCUAUCUGUCUGCUUCUACGCAAUAUGCAGGAAUUAUUAGGCAACAUUUAUCGAGAACUUUCUAUAUGCCUCAUGGUGUUUUAAACACUUUAUACAUACUGACUCACUUUAAUCUUUAAUCUGAACAAAUGGGUGCGGAGGAGUAAACCAACUUGCUCAAGAUCAAGUGACUUGUUAGCAACAAGGCAGACCGACCACAAGGCUCAAGAUCUGGACUAGUGUGUGAAACUCUUCUCAAGAAGCCUCCUCCUCAAAUCCUGAGCAUUAUAUG